rnacentral:rRNA from 1 species
AACAUGCAAGUCGAACGGUAGCACAGAGAGCUUGCUCUCGGGUGACGAGUGGCGGACGGGUGAGUAAUGUCUGGGAAACUGCCUGAUGGAGGGGGAUAACUACUGGAAACGGUAGCUAAUACCGCAUAACGUCGCAAGACCAAAGAGGGGGACCUUCGGGCCUCUUGCCAUCAGAUGUGCCCAGAUGGGAUUAGCUAGUAGGUGGGGUAACGGCUCACCUAGGCGACGAUCCCUAGCUGGUCUGAGAGGAUGACCAGCCACACUGGAACUGAGACACGGUCCAGACUCCUACGGGAGGCAGCAGUGGGGAAUAUUGCACAAUGGGCGCAAGCCUGAUGCAGCCAUGCCGCGUGUAUGAAGAAUGCCUUCGGGUUGUAAAGUACUUUCAGCGGGGAGGAAGGCGAUGAGGUUAGUAACCUUCCCUAUUGACGUUACCCGCAGAAGAAGCACCUGUAUAACUCCGAGCCACUAGUUCAUACACAUACGGAGGGUGCAAGCAGUGUAUGGGCAAUAUUCUGGCAGUAAUAGCGCACUGCAUGCCUGUCCUGUCGAGUCUGUACCAAAUCUCAGGUCUCGAGCUGGUGACUGUAUUCUAAGAUGAGAUGCUGAGUCUUGCUAGGGGAGCCGUACCCACGUACUACGUAAACCGUGUAGACACAUGGAAGAGUACCGGGGCCGAA